rnacentral:rRNA from 1 species
CUUGAAUAAAUAUGAGAGGUCCAGCCUGCCCAGUGACCAUGUUCAACGGCCGCGGUAUCCUAACCGUGCGAAGGUAGCGUAAUCACUUGUUCUUUAAAUAAGGACUGGUAUGAACGGCACCACGAAGGUUACACUGUCUCCUUUCUCUAAUCAGUGAAACUAAUCUCCCCGUGAAGAAGCGAGGAUAAGAACAUAAGACGAGAAGACCCUAUGGAGCUUUAAACUACAAGGCAAUUGCCCCCAUUCAACUAAAUUUCAGAAAAUUAACACUACCCAAGCAAUUUGACCCUUAGUUUUAGGUUGGGGUGACCGCGGAGCAAAAAAAAACCUCCACAUUGAAAGGAGCCCACUCCUUAGCCAAGAGCCACACCUCUACGCACCAGCAAAAAGACAUCAAUUGACCCAAUAUUUUGAUCAACGAAC